rnacentral:rRNA from 1 species
UACGGAGGGGCUAGCGUUGUUCGGAAUUACUGGGCGUAAAGCGCACGUAGGCGGCUUUGUAAGUUAGAGGUGAAAGCCCGGGGCUCAACUCCGGAAUUGCCUUUAAGACUGCAUCGCUAGAAUUGUGGAGAGGUGAGUGGGAAUUCCGAGUGUAGAGGUGAAAUUGUAGAUAUUCGGAAGAACACCAGUGGCGAAGGCGACUCACUGGACACAUAUUGACGCUGAGGUGCGAAAGCGUGGGGAGCAAACAGG